rnacentral:lncRNA from 1 species
GAAUUAUACGAAGGACCUGGCCGCAAGAAGGCAUUGAGCCCCGAGGAGGACAACAGGCCUCAGACCUCUCCAGAGUCCGAUGUCCUUCUGCACAAGUCCUUGUUGUCCAGUCUGUGGCCCAAACACCCACAGGGCAUGGUGGAGGCCUGAGACAGUGCUGGUUUUGCUGGGGCCAUCAGAAAAGCUUACGAAGCAGGCUCGGCCAUUGGCUGGAAGUCACUAGCCCCUGCUGGGCUCAUGCAAUACUCAUGGAACUGGUGUGGGCUCCUGCGGGUUCCCUAUGAGCAAUGCCUCACCCAUUUAAAGCUCGUCAAAGGACUUGUUCAAUA